UACAGAGACUGCAAGCGUUAUUCGGAUUCAUUGGGCGUAAAGGGCGCGUAGGCGGCGGGGUAAGUCUGGUGUGAAAUCUCGGAGCUCAACUCCGAAAUUGCACUGGAUACUGCUCUGCUAGAGGGCUGGAGAGGAGAUCGGAAUUCACGGUGUAGCAGUGAAAUGCGUAGAUAUCGUGAGGAAGACCAGUGGCGAAGGCGGAUCUCUGGACAGCUCCUGACGCUGAGGCGCGAAGGCUAGGGGAGCAAACGGG
rnacentral:rRNA from 1 species